rnacentral:lncRNA from 1 species
GUCAUUCCUGUGCCCUUGAAAGAAGAUGGAGACUUUUUAGGAUUUACCCUCACCGAGCACAGGAAGAUAACAUUCAAGGGAUGCCUCAGCUUGAGCAGAUACCAGUUAUCUCCUGAGUCAACACCCGGUGUCUCCACCGCAUGACCUCAUCGUCUACCGCCUGACCUCUUUGCCUCCUGCUAUCACUGACUAUAUCCUCAUCCCUCCAUCCUUUGUGUUUCACAAAGGACACUCCCCCUACCUGAAAGCCUUAAAAGCUGGAACGUUCACCCCAAUAAAUGAGACCUUGACAAUAGAAUCUUGCUUGGUCUCCUUCUCCUCUCGCCCCCCAUAGGCCUAUGAGUAAGCAUACAUAUAAGACUACAACCAGCUGAGUCAUUUGUUGAUGUUGUUGCUGUUGUUAUUGUUGUUAUUGAUUGUGUGUAUAUAAUUUCAGGUGUGAUCACAAUGCAUUAAAUUGCCAAUUAGGGGGUUUAUUCUUCCAGUAGGCUGAUUCUCUGACUUGCAAAUGAAUGAAAGGACAGUAGGGGAAUAACCCUUCUAAUGACCUAGCAGCUUUGGAGAGGAAAUAUAUAUAUAUAUAUAUAACCUUGGGAUGGAAAACACAUGAGCAGCUGAGAACACUGUAGAUUUUUUGAGAGCAUCCAGGUUUCAUUUCCAGCAACAUAAGAGUAGCUCACAUCUACCUCUAAUUCCAGUUUUAGAGGUUCAGAGAAAAGCUGUUCACCUCCCUAGUCAGGCAAAAAUUUACCAGGCAGGAAUGGGGAAAAGUCACAUAAACAGGAAAAAAAAA